rnacentral:tRNA from 1 species
AGGCAUCUGGCCUAGUGGUCAAAAGGGUUUUCUCUUGUGGAAUAACCCAAGUUCAAAUCUUGGGGUGGAGA